CCUACGGGUGGCUGCAGUGAGGAAUAUUGGUCAAUGGACGCAAGUCUGAACCAGCCAUGCCGCGUGCAGGAUGACGGCUCUAUGAGUUGUAAACCGCUUUUGUACGAGGGUAAACCCCGAUACUUGUACCGGGAUGAAAGUAUCGUAAGAAUAAGGAUCGGCUAACUCCGUGCCAGCAGCCGCGGUAAUACGGAGGAUCCGAGCGUUAUCCGGAUUUAUUGGGUUUAAGGGGUGCGUAGGCGGUUUGAUAAGUUAGAGGUGAAAUGCCGGGGCUCAACCCCGAAACUGCCUCUAAGACUGGUGGGCUAGAGAGUAGGUGCGGUAGGCGGAAUGUGUGGUGUAGCGGUGAAAUGCUUAGAGAUCAUACAGAACACCGAUUGCGAAGGCAGCGUACCAAACUAUAUCUGACGUUGAGGCACGAAAGCGUGGGUAGCAAACAGGAUUAGAUACCCGGGUAGUC
rnacentral:rRNA from 1 species